GCUCCCGUAGCUCAGCUGGAUAGAGCAACUCCCUUCUAAGGAGUAGGUCUUGUGUUCGAGUCACAACGGGAGCA
rnacentral:tRNA from 1 species